UAUAACGAUUUACCGAUACAGAUCACACCGGUGUCAAGUUGAUUAACAGCUGACAUUUGUUUUCAAUAGAAUAAAGUGAACUUAAGAGUGAAUCACAGCAGAUCCAUGAGAUAAUGACCUCAUCACUUAACUCCUCCUGAUCUAUGAAAUUUAAUGAGCAUCGAGCAGCCCAUUUUCGAUUUUUUUUUCCGAUGAAAUGAGAGGCAAUAAAAGUGGUGAAAAAAUAACCGGACAUACUAUCAACUAUGCUGAAUCUAUUGGGACAUCCAGGGCUCCUUGGAUGAUGCACGAAGACAGGAUCGGGUUACCCAGACACCACCCGUACGACAGAUGGAUUCCUUGGAAUUCCAGUUAAAUGUCCCACCUCAAAUUGUUCAUCAUUCCCACCCAGGAAAACCAAUUUUCAUGACCGAAAAAAAUAGAAGAAACCGAGAAGAUUUUCGAGAAAGCAGAAGAGGGGAAUGGGGAAGUCAACCCCUGCGGUGUUGAGGAUACGGAUGGCAGACAACCAUACAUAACACGAGGAUUGAGUGUAGGUCAGGUAGUAAACAUUUGAUCUGUUCGGCUGUCCGGAUGGAUGACUCCAAAGGCAGUCACUCGAGAGCAAAAAAAUAAUAAUAAAAACCACUUCCCUUUUUUAUUCGCUACACCGAGGGGUGAGUACAAUCGCUCAGAUAUUGCUCACCUGUUUCAGCUCUCUAAUAGUGCAACAAGUAUUAUCGAUUCAUUUCAUUUGUUCAUUCAUGGUGAGACGAAAUUGUCAUCCUACGAAACGAUAAUUGUUUAUCUAAAAAAACAAUGGAGCGUUUCGCGUUAGUGAUCUAUUUCGUCGAGCAUAGGCUUAAACUUUCAGUAGAAUAUAAUAACCCAUUUAAUUAAAAUUGAAUAUAUAUGGAAACAUUAUUAUUUAAAUAUAUAUAUGCAUAUAUACAUACAUAUAAGCUGUAUGGUUGACUAAUGAUUCAUGCAUAUUUGCACAUUAUUUUUUGUAAUUAUCUAUUCAUUUAUUCAAUGCAAAGGCGGUAAUGUCGGUUUUUUUAAAUUUUUCAAUAUGAGAAACAGCUGAUACAUAAUCUUUAUAAAAUAUUUUAGCUUGUGCACAAAAAUAUUAUAUUAUCUAAACUAUAUUUCGGAAAGUAGUGAGAUUUUUUCAAACGUUUCCUUCUCAUUAACAAAUAAUGGAACUUAUUUCCCAAAAGGUCAAUUAUCUUCUACGAAGUGUCAAAAAAUUCUUAAUUGUUCGUCAAAUGGUUAAAAAUUCUGAAAUUAAUCUUUGACUACAACGGAAACGUCGAUUUUCUCAUAAGACGUUGUGUCAAAUUCUAAUUUUUCAACUCUAGUUUACAGAAGCCAUAAUUCAAUUAAAAAAAGAUUACGAUGCCAAAUGCUAUUUUUCUAAAAAUUUUCUGUAGCUUUCCAUAACCUUUGAAUUUACUAAAGGAGCAAAGCUUCUUUAAAUCCAGAUCUUAUCAUCUGCUUCACAGAGACUCUACUCCACGAAUACGAAAACUACUGUAUUUCAGAACUCAACACUUGUCGUGAAAAGAUGAAGAGAGUUAAUAUUCCCCGCAGUCAGGUGUAAAGAAAAUUAAAAUGCCCAACAGACUCCCCAAGAAUUUCGUCAUGAAUAUUUUCUCUUUCAAUUUUAGAACGGAAACAUAGAGGAUGCACUGAAGACCGAAACAGUUUUAAGAUUUCGAGUGGAACAUUGUCUUUUGGCCCCUUCGGAAAACCUUCAAGGAUACAGAUGCGGGCAGGCUAUCCUCAACUCAAGAACCUUUUAAAUUACAUCGUCAGUCGUGAGGCCCUCAUGUACCCAUAUGAAGGCUCAUUUUUUUCUACUCAAAUAUUUUCAUCGUUUUGUCUGCACCAUUCGAUGGAAAAAAAAUUAGUCACUUGAUUUGAUCUUCGAAAAUAUUUGUACACAAGCAAGAAAAUGAUUGGAAAGUGUUGAGCCAGGUCCCCAACAAAAGCUGUUCGUCAUGCGUUUUGAAGAGCGUCGAGGAUAGCGACAGUUCCCAAAGAAACCUCGAAAAGGGAAGAGGAGAAAAAAAAAUCCCCCAAAAAAUAAGAAAGAGAGCCAUGGAUCUUUUCUUGGAUACUAGGCCGUCCCUUUCAUCCCUUUGCCCCUCAUUCGUCUCUCAGCCGCCAGUCCCUCAUCCUCUCUCUCUCUCGCUCCACCUCUCAUGCUCUAUCUUCACCACAUCACCAAGGAGUGAGACAACCCGAAGACCCAAAGAUUGAAACCAACAGAAAACCGAGAGAGGCGUCCUGAGCCCCGCGGCGUUGCCAUGCCGAGAGAAUCCAGAAAAUUCACAAAAAGAUAAAUAAAAACUGCAGAGUAAAACUCCAGUAAUUUAUCCCAUCAAGAUGAAAAUUCAAAAUUAUAAAAACUCCAAACAGUGAAAUAAUUCAUGUUUAUCCUACCCCAUCAAUUGCGUUUAAUAUCGGAUUGAGGGGUGCGCUGUGCCCACAAAUUGAAACAAACGCCCGGUUCUUCAUUCGAUAAUUACCGAACCGAGUGGGCCAGAACGAUUCACACAAGACUCGAUCUAUCACACGCGAUGUCAAAAAAACAUAUAAAUAUUUGUAAUAAAAUAAUGACCUCAGUUGUGGGCAAAUAAAAUAGAAAUAAAUAUUUUAUAUCGAACAUCUCGAUGCACUUGAUAAAUCCAUUAAUUUAUCAUCGACUUUCCCCAAACUUCGCUUCAUUUGUUCAAUGACUACCGUAAUUACUGUUACACACAAUUUUCUAAAAUUAUUUAUUGCUAAUUGAACCUAGAUAUUACCAAUGUCAUGUAGCAAUGAAUAACUUUAUCUGCAUAAUCAUUACGCAAUUGAGAAUAUUUAUCCCCCUCAAGCCCGAUGCUUGACAUUAACGCAAGCUUGAUAUCAUCGAUGAUAAUCUCUUAAAAAAUAAUUAUCGAUUAUAUAUUGAGCAAUCCACAAUUGAUCGGAGCACUUUGCGACAAUUUCAACUCCAUUGAAGCUGUAAAAUUUCCCAAAAUUAACGGAACCUCAAUUUACCCGAUUGAAUCGUACCACAAACAAGACUUUAAAUAUUCUGAAUCAUGUGAAUCGAAUUCCCAGAAAAUUUAUUGAAUGAUUCAAUGAAUAACAAAGUCCAAUAAAG